rnacentral:rRNA from 1 species
AGACUGUACGAGAUAAGUUGGACAGUCAAAAGGGAAAGAGCCCAGACCGCCGGCUAAGGUCCCAAAGUGGGUGUUAAGUGGAAAAGGAUGUGGGAUCUCUAAGACAACCAGGAUGUUGGCUCAGAAGCAGCCAUUCAUUAAAAGAGUGCGUAACAGCUCACUGGUCGAGAGGUCCUGCGCCGAAAAUGUCCGGGGCUGAAACACCACACCGAAGCCGCGGAACCCGUAAGGGUUGGUAGAGGAGCAUUCUUAGGGGAGUGAAGCAUUACCGGAAGGGGAUGUGGACCGCUAAGAAGAGAGAAUGCCGGAAUGAGUAGCGAGAGCAAGGUGAGAAUCCUUGCGGCCGAAUAUCCAAGGUUUCCAGAGUAAAGCUGAUCUGCUCUGGGUAAGUCGGGGCCUAAGGAGAGGCAGAGAUGCGUAUCCGAUGGACAGCAGGUUUAAGAUUCCUGCACCCCUUGUUAUCAGAACUGCGGGGACACGGGAAGGGAAGCAGAGCCGGGAAUGGAAAGCCCGGUGCAAGCGAAGGAGUCGCAGGGUUGGAAAAUCCGCCCUGCAUGAGACGAAGGCGUGAUGCGGAGCGAAAUGAAGUAGUGAAGCUGCGGCCCCUUCCUGUCGAGAAAAGCCGCUAUCGUGUAGCAAGGGCCCGUACCGUAAACCGACACAGGUGGAUGAGGAGAGGAUCCUAAGGCCGGCGGGAGAAGUGUUGUUAAGGAACUCGGCAAAAUGACUCCGUAACUUCGGGAGAAGGAGUGCUGCGCAAGCAGCCGCAGAGAAAUGGCCCAAGCAACUGUUUAGCAAAAACACAGGUCUAUGCGAAACCGAAAGGUGAGGUAUAUGGGCUGACGCCUGCCCGGUGCUGGAAGGUUAAGGGGAGAGCUUAGCGCGAGCGAAGGUUUGAACUUAAGCCCCAGUAAACGGCGGCCGUAACUAUAACGGUCCUAAGGUAGCGAAAUUCCUUGUCGGGUAAGUUCCGACCCGCACGAAAGGCGUAAUGAUUUGGGCACUGUCUCAACAACACACCCGGUGAAAUUGAAAUACCAGUGAAGAUGCUGGUUACCCGCGCCAGGACGGAAAGACCCCAUGGAGCUUUACUCCAGCCUGAUACUGGGAUUCGGUAUUGCAUGUACAGGAUAGGUGGGAGGCUAAGAACUCAUGGCGCCAGCCGUGAGGGAGCCGAUGUUGGGAUACCACCCCUGCAGUACUGGGUUUCUAACCUGCGCCCGUGACCCGGGCGGGGGACAAUGUCAGGCGGGGAGUUUGACUGGGGCGGUCGCCUCCGAAAGGGUAUCGGAGGCGCUCAAAGGUUCCCUCAGAAUGGUUGGAAACCAUUCGAAGAGUGCAAAGGCAGAAGGGAGCUUGACUGCGACACCGACGGGUGGAGCAGGUACGAAAGUAGGACUUAGUGAUCCGGUGGCAUAAAGUGGGAUUGCCAUCGCUCAACGGAUAAAAGCUACCCUGGGGAUAACAGGCUUAUCACUCCCAAGAGUUCACAUCGACGGAGUGGUUUGGCACCUCGAUGUCGGCUCAUCGCAUCCUGGAGCUGGAGCAGGUUCCAAGGGUUGGGCUGUUCGCCCAUUAAAGCGGUACGCGAGCUGGGUUCAGAACGUCGUGAGACAGUUCGGUCCCUAUCCGGCGCGGGCGCAGGAUAUCUGAGAGGAGCUGUCCUUAGUACGAGAGGACCGGGAUGGACCGUCCGCUGGUGGACCGGUUGUCAUGCCAAUGGCACGGCCGGGUAGCCAAGACGGGAAGGGAUAAACGCUGAAGGCAUCUAAGCGUGAAGCCCCCCUCAAGAUGAGAUAUCCAUACUCGAAAGAGUGAGAGACCCCUUAGAGACGAUGAGGUAGAUAGGGCAGAGAUGGAAGCACAGCGAUGUGUGGAGUUGACUGUUACUAAUCGGUCGAAAGCUUGACCU